rnacentral:rRNA from 1 species
AACGAACGCUGGCGGCAUGCCUAACACAUGCAAGUCGAACGAGAUCUUCGGGUCUAGUGGCGCACGGGUGCGUAACGCGUGGGAAUCUGCCCUUUGGUUCGGAAUAACAGUUGGAAACGACUGCUAAUACCGGAUGAUGACGAAAGGCCAAAGAUUUAUCGCCAGAGGAUGAGCCCGCGUAGGAUGAGCUAGUUGGUGUGGUAAAGGCGCACCAAGGCGACGAUCCUUAGCUGAUCUGAGAGGAUGAUCAGCCACAGUGGGACUGAGACACGGCCCACCCUCCGACGGGCAGCAGCAGUGUGUAUGAUUGGACAUGGGGCGAAAGGCUGAUCCAGCAAUGCCUCGUGGGGGAUGAAGGCCUUAGGGUUGUCAAGCUCUUUGACCCGGGAUGAUAAUGACAGUACCGGGAGAAUAAGCUCCGGCUAACUCCGUGCCAGCCGCCGCCGUAACAC